UACGUAGGGGGGCAAGCGUUGUCCGGAAUCAUUGGGCGUAAAGAGCGCGUAGGCGGUCCGAUAAGUCGGCUGUGAAAGUCAGGGGCUCAACCCUUGAAAGCCGGCCGAUACUGUCGGACUAGAGUUCGGAAGAGGCGAGUGGAAUUCCCGGUGUAGCGGUGAAAUGCGCAGAUAUCGGGAGGAACACCAAUGGCGAAGGCAGCUCGCUGGGACGUGACUGACGCUGAGGCGCGAAAGCGUGGGGAGCAAACAGG
rnacentral:rRNA from 1 species